GAUUCGUUAAGUUGUUCAAAAUUAAAAACUCGGAGCGUCCAACAAAAGAAAUGUUAACGAUAACCAAUAAGUGAUGUCCAUAAACCACUAAUUUAUCUUAAGUAUAAAACAGAGUUUUUCGUCGCAAAAUAUCAGGACGAGGAAGAAUCAUAAUUCAUUAAAUUUCCCAAAUUGAAUUAAUCAGAUGGAAACAAAAAAAGAAAACUCGAAUGUAACGUGUCAAAAAAUGUCACGUCAGGAAAUAUAAAAUUAAUAUUACCCCUUUUAAUAAAUUAGUAUAUUCUUAAUAAACGACAUGAAAACGAGACUUGAGUACAUUUUGAAGAAUAAUAAACUAAAUACUAUGAAAAACUCCCAACCGAUCUUUUUUUAAGAGUUGUAAAAGCUCGCAACGUCAAAACCCAAGUGGAAUUUUGUCAUCCCUUGUUAUUUCAUAAUUGUUUCUGCCCUCUGAACAGAGGUGCAUACUUGGAUAUUCCAAUUUCCGGAAAUUUGACGAUAUCCAUAUAACGUUUAUUUCCACUUUUUACGAAGUGGACAAAUUUAAGCAAUUAAAUUAUUUAAUUCAAGGUCUGGUGCAUCCAAUUCACUGAACUCCGAUCACACCACAUAACUUACAAGUUUGCACAAAUUAACUUGGCAACUACUUCGUUCAUUAAAUUUAACUUACG